ACGCUGGCGGCGUGCCUAAUACAUGCAAGUCGAACGGCUUUUCUAUGGAAGCUUGCUUCCACUGAGAAGAUAGUGGCGAACGGGUGAGUAACACGUGGGUAACCUGCCCAUAAGAGGGGGGAUAACAUCCGGAAACGGGUGCUAAUACCGCAUAGUUUUCUUGAUCGCAUGAUCGGGAAAGGAAAGACGGCCUUUGUGCUGUCGCUUAUGGAUGGACCCGCGGCGUAUUAGUUAGUUGGUGAGGUAACGGCUCACCAAGACGAUGAUACGUAGCCGACCUGAGAGGGUGAUCGGCCACAUUGGGACUGAGACACGGCCCAAACUCCUACGGGAGGCAGCAGUAGGGAAUCUUCCGCAAUGGACGAAAGUCUGACGGAGCAACGCCGCGUGAAGUGAAGAAGGUUUUCGGAUCGUAAAGCUCUGUUGUAAGAGAAGAACGUUGAGUAGAGUGGAAAGUUACUCAAGUGACGGUAUCUUACCAGAAAGGGACGGCUAACUACGUGCCAGCCGCGGC
rnacentral:rRNA from 1 species